CCACGCGAAUUAACGCUUCCCUNUUGCGGGAGGCGUGGCGUACGGCUCAGUAACCCGUAAUCUACCUGCCCUGGAGACAAGUAUAACCCCGGGAAACUGGGAUUAAUCCUUGAUAGGUCAUCUCAUCUGGAAGGAGAGAUGGCUUAAAGGGGUGCGAGAGCUUCUUUCUUGUACCCGCUCCAGGAUGGGACUGCGGCCGAUCAGGCUGUUGGUGGGGUAAUGGCCCACCAAACCUGUAACCGGUACGGGCCUUGAGAGAGGGGGCCCGGAGAUGGACACUGAGAGAAGGGUCCAGGUCCUACGGGGCGCAGCAGGCGCGAAACCUUUCACAUGCGCGAAAGCGUGAUGAGGUUAAUCCGGAGUGGUCCCCCGCUGAGGGGGAUCUUUUGUUCGGGGUGGUAAAGAGGGCCGGUUGAAUUACGGGGGAGGGGCAAGUUCUUGGUUUUCCGCCGCCGCG
rnacentral:rRNA from 1 species